CUAAUAACACAACCCGGUAACAUAUGAUGGACGAUGGACGUCAAUGAUAGACUGAUAGAUAUAUAUUGUAGCACAAAUGGAUUGAUAUAUUUCUAGUUGGUUUCAGGAGCCAACUCCGCAAUGGCAGCCGAAGGCAGCGCCGUGGACAAGUACGAUCUCCAGAGUGACCUCCCCUCACUGGACUGGGAAUUAAACCUUGUACUGGACGAAAUAUCUCAGGAAAUGACUGAGGAAGAUGUCGACAGGAUGAAGAA